ensembl:lncRNA
CAUGUUUGGGUGAUUGCAGUUGUUUUGUCUCCAUAGCAACAGGUGUCAUAUUUCGAAAGCCGGGAGGAUUUUUCUUUCUUUUUUUUUUACCGGAAAAGGCCGAAGCGCGAGCGAGCAGCCGCGAGUCGGUGCCCGCAAACAGGAGGCCACUUUUCUCAGAAAUUACGCAGCGGGUAUCGCGUCUCAUUAGGCGUCUUAACCGGAACAAACAGCGGGGCAUUUCGUGAUCGCUGCCCGGGCCCCGAGGCAGCGAUAAUAACUCCGCAGCGAUGCGCUAAAUGUAACCUCAUUCAGCGCAAAAAGGGACAUUAUAUUCACGCAGAUGAGACUUUGAUGCUACAUGAUACGGGUGAAUCCACAUCUGACAGCACUUACAACACUGGGAGCUGAAAACGAGCU